CGCAGGCUCCUAGAGACUGACCCACGGCGCGGUGGCUCCCCAAAGCGUGGGAAAUGGGUCAGGAACGUGCCGAGGGUGCCCCCCCCAGAGGGAGAAGCGCUCGGUCUCCCUCCAAGCCAGGAAUAGUGCCAAGCACACAGUAUGGGAAGGGCGCACACAAGGAUGCAGACACGGCCACACGGGGGGGAGCCCGGGCAUCCGUGUGACGCCCAUCUCCGGCCCCCGACGGAGAGCCCCUCGGAAGCUGGAGGCACACAGAGCCCUGGCCAAGACGCCCGCCCUCUGGGCACGGCCAGGAUGUCUAGCGCUGCCCGCACCAAGCCAGAGGUUCAGACCAAUGGCCCAGCCCCAAAGGAGCUCCAGUGUCAGUGAGACCUUUGAGUCCACAGGGUAGAAAGAGCCACUUCCUUCCUCCAAGUAGUCAGGGCUGGCUGCCUGGAAGAGGGGAGCACUUCAGAAGCCAUAGAAAAGGGGGCUUCCACAGGCUCCCAGAAAAGGGGCCACGUGCCACAGAAGCUUCAGGAAGACACCACGAGCACAGGACCUGGUAAAAGCCUGAAGAGGCAGCUGUGGGGAGGCUCUGUGGGAGCCCAAUAAGGAGUGAGGCUAGAACGGAGCGAGGACCUCCUAUCCUGGAAAUCGUCUCUAACAUUUGGGGGCAUCGAGGCCUAUCCUCCUUGUUUGGGAGCUCAACCUUGGCCCGAGGCCCGAGUGCCCAGCCGUCAGGAGGAUCUAGCUCACGGAUAGCCAAGUCCUCUCUUCCUCGGCCCUAGCUGUUUGCAAAGGAGUGAGGUUGGGGGGACCCCAGGCACGCUGCCCACAGCAGCCAGGGAGACUGGACCCAAGCUUAUAGGCUCACCACAAACCUAAGGCCGUCUGACAGCCCAGCCCAGGGGGUCGAUAGCAGGAAGACCAACAGGAAACUCAGCCGGGCUGCCAGGAUCUGACCUAGAUCUUGAAGUCCGAUAGCUGAAGAAGGUAAUGUUCAACUCUCUGGGCUCCCAGCCUCCAGCUCCACCGCGGGCCAGAGACGCCCACCAUGGGACCGGGAGUAGGAAGGCCGAAGAGACCCGUUCACCCAGCAGCCCUCCACGACUUACCCAUCUCUCCCCUGAUUUACUAUUGAACCGAGCCUAGCUCAGCAAGGGACGCCGAGGAUGCCAGGAGCGGGGAAGGCACCUCCAGGGAGGAUCCACUCCAACUCUCAUUUUACAAAUGAGAAAGCGGGCCAGGGAAAUCAAGGGACUUCUCCAAGGUCACACAGGCACCAAGAAGCAAAGCUGGGGUUUAAAACCAAGGCAGGUAACUCAAAAUCUAAAGGCUGGGCUCCUCCAUGCUUUUCAGCCCGACUCGUUUAGCCAGCUGGUGCCACUGUCCUUCCCCACGGGCCGAGCUACACUCCCUGGAUGGAGAGUUUCUCUAGAGGCAGUGGGUGGCACCGUUGGCAGAGAGCCAGGCCUGGAGACUCCUAGGGGGGCCGGAUUUCAAACCUGAGCUGAGACACUUCCUAGCUAGGUGACCCUGGGCAAGUCACUCAACCCCUACUGCCCAGCCCUUUACCCUCUUCUGCCCAAGAGAUACUUAAAAUUGAUCCUAGGACAGAAAUGAAGGGGUUAAAAAAAGGAAGCCUAUACCAGGGUCUCUGGUCUGUCCCUCAGAUUCAGGGUAUCUAGUCUGGAGAUGCUUCAUCCUUUUGUGUGCUGUGGCCUCCUCUGGCAGUCUAGUGAAGCCUGGGGAUCCCUUCUUAAAAUCACAUUUAAAGCCAUAAAGUCUAUAAGACCAUCAAAGAGGCCAGUUACAGUGAAAUAAGGAUGUCUUUUCCCCUCCCGGAUGAUGGCUCUCCUGAAAUCACAGACCCCCAAACUAAGCGCCAGGCCACCCCCCUCUAUCUUAGCCCCUUCACUUUACAGACAGAAGAACGGGGGUCCACCCUCGAUGGCUGCUAGUAGGGGGGCAGGAGAGCCAACCCUGGCCCUCCCUGCCAAGGCCACCAUACUCCACAUGGAUCCCGGCCUCAGUUUUCCCACUUGUAGAAUGGGGAGUUGGAGGCGAUGGAGGUCUCUACAAGUCUGUGAUCUCUGCCCCCUGCCAUCCCUCCCCGGUAAGACCGCACAGCUCUGGGCUCCUCCAUGCUUUUCAGCCCAACUCAUGUAGCCAGCUAGGCACCACUCUCCCUCCCCAAAGGCAGCCACUUUAGAGGAAGAAGCAGCCCAUGACAGGCUCCAAAUGGCCGCUGCUCCUUCCUUCUUCCUCUCUUAGGGAGGGGCCCAUUUCGGGUAAUAUUUCCUAGGGUCAAUCUCCAAGGCUCCUCAGUUUCCCAGACUGUGCAAUGGGUGUGUACGCUCCAGUGUUCAGAUAAUAGAGUCAAGGAAAAGGGGGAUGGGGGCGGGAGCAAGCCCAAGGGUCAGGUGCACAGAAACGCGAGGUACACCCACGUGCAAAAAUAAUAAAAGCCCAGGGUGCGUACACCGGGACACCACUGCAUCCAGACCUCGGUGCACACCCACAGACACGCGCGAACACAAAGACGGAGCUGGGCAAGGGUGCCCCCACCACCAGCACACGCGCACCCAAACCUCAAGGGGCUGCUGUAAGGGAAAGCCUUUGUAAGCCUCAAGGCAGCCUAGCCCCGGGUGCCGUCCUUAUUCCCGGGUGCACCCCGCACCCCCGCACACAUACACCGCAGGCACAUACGUAUAAACAGAUGCAUGUGCACACAGCCCAAGCCCGGCCGCUGCCCCCGGGGCUUCCGGGGCGUGGGCCCCAUGGGCAGGGAAGGAAGCCAUGGGUGGGGAAGACGGUCCUAAGAAAGAAGAUGAAAGACGCCCACGGCUGCGGGGAGAGCGGACCCCCGGCUGCGGCUGGUGGGAAGAGGAAGAGGAGGAGGAGGAGGGGAAGGAGAGCCAUCUGGACCAACCCCCGCGGGACCCCAGCGCGCCAGCUCACCGUGGAUGCCGGUCUGAUGGGCCAUGGCCGCGGGCCGGCCCAGCUCCGCCGGGCCCCUCAGCAACAGCGACGGCAGCAAUAGCAGCAGCAGCAGGAGCAGCAGGCAGCAGCAAAGGCGGCGGCGACAGCAAGAGGAUGUGGCACCGGAGCUUCCCGGGCGGUGCCGCAGUAACCCCCGCCCCCUCCCCCUCCAGGCCCCUCCCCGCCCUGCCCCUCGGGGGCCAGCUGGGGGGGCGGAGCUCCAGAACCCCCUCCCCCAGCCCCCACCCUUCCCACCCUUCCCUUCUGUCCCCUCUGCUUCUACUGGCUUGAGUGGGCGUGAUCCUGAGAGGAGGAUGAGGGAUGCUGGUGGCUGAGGGCAGGGAAUCCGCCAAGCCCAAGAGGAAGACACCGUGAGCGCCACAGCUUGGCAAAAGAGAGAGAAAGCUGGGAGCUUCCAUCUUGCCCUGCAAAAAGCCUACCUUGGUAUUGUCAGCCCUGGAUUUCUUCCAGAACUUGGGCACGGGAUGAACUUCUCUACGUUGAGUGACUGCACUCCCUAAACUCCUCCACUCUCCCCCAAUUGUCAUAAAAUCUACAGCUGGAAUGAAUGGAUAGCUGGAUGGAAAGAUGAAUGAAUGAGUGAAUAAAUGAAUGAAUUUUUAAAGCAUU